AAUAGGGUCCGCCAACGGCUUAUCUCCCCCUUGCGCCGCUAGAGGUGCUGGUGUAUUAUGAGGUAUUCGAGAUAAACAUGGCGUACGCUUCGUACACAGUGCCGAAACUGAAAAAAGAAUUAAUAUUACGCGGCGCUGUAACGACGGGAAGGAAAACCGAUCUCAUAGAAAGGUUGGAAGCAUACGAACGGAAUUUCAACUUUAGUGGUCCCGUCAUAGAACUGCCAGCGGAAAGGGAUGUAGAAUGGCCAACUACUGGUUAUAAACAAAUGACAUCGACCAUCAUGACCUUUUGCCACACAUAACAGAAGCCCAUAUCGAAGGAUAUUUUCAAUAUAGACAAGCAGUCGACAGACAAAUGAUGGGCAAUACAAAGGCCAUUGUGAAAGGAAAAUUACUGCUGGAGUCAGAGAGAGUUGAAGCACUGAGCAUUAACUGUCAAGAUGAAGACUUUUUCCUUACAGGAUUUGUCAGAGCUGCAAUGAAGAAAAAGGCUCCCCCAUAAAAGCUGAAGACAUGCCUUGUCGGUAUAAUCCAGAUCUUAGUGACCCUAGGCCUCAGAAAUACAGAGGAAUAGCUGGAUACAAUGAUUACGUGAGCAACAUUGUAACCAACUACUGUGCUGCAACAUCUGCAGAUUUGGCUUUCAAGUACAUAAAGCCCAAGGCAUUGAUCAACAUUGCAGUAUUAGACCAUGAUUACUUGGACCUGCCAUUCACCGAAUAUUGGAUAGAUGCAGCU